CAUAGACAGCCAGGAUGUUGGCUUAGAAGCAGCCAUCAUUUAAAGAAAGCGUAAUAGCUCACUGGUCGAGUCGGCCUGCGCGGAAGAUGUAACGGGGCUAAACCAUGCACCGAAGCUGCGGCAGCGACGCUUAGCGUUGUUGGGUAGGGGAGCGUUCUGUAAGCCGUUGAAGGUGGCCUGUGAGGGUUGCUGGAGGUAUCAGAAGUGCGAAUGCUGACAUAAGUAACGAUAAAGCGGGUGAAAAGCCCGCUCGCCGGAAGACCAAGGGUUCCUGUCCAACGUUAAUCGGGGCAGGGUGAGUCGACCCCUAAGGCGAGGCUGAAAAGCGUAGUCGAUGGGAAACAGGUUAAUAUUCCUGUACUUGGUGUUACUGCGAAGGGGGGACGGAGAAGGCUAGGCUAGCCGGGCGACGGUUGUCCCGGUUUAAGCGUGUAGGGGGUGUGACCUGGUAAAUCCGGUUGCAUAUUAACCCUGAGGCGUGAUGACGAUGCACUACGGUGCAGAAGUAGUUGAUGCCCUGCUUCCAGGAAAAUCCUCUAAGCUCCAGGUAACAUUAAAUCGUACCCCAAACCGACACAGGUGGUCAGGUAGAGAAUACCAAGGCGCUUGAGAGAACUCGGGUGAAGGAACUAGGCAAAAUGGUGCCGUAACUUCGGGAGAAGGCACGCUGGCAUGUAGGUGAAGUCCCUCGCGGAUGGAGCUGAAGCCAGUCGAAGAUACCAGCUGGCUGCAACUGUUUAAUAAAAACACAGCACUGUGCAAACACGAAAGUGGACGUAUACGGUGUGACGCCUGCCCGGUGCUGGAAGGUUAAUUGAUGGGGUCAGCCGCAAGGCGAAGCUCUUGAUCGAAGCCCCAGUAAACGGCGGCCGUAACUAUAACGGUCCUAAGGUAGCGAAAUUCCUUGUCGGGUAAGUUCCGACCUGCACGAAUGGCGUAAUGAUGGCCAGGCUGUCUCCACCCGAGACUCAGUGAAAUUGAACUCGCUGUGAAGAUGCAGUGUACCCGCGGCAAGACGGAAAGACCCCGUGAACCUUUACUAUAGCUUGACACUGAACAUUGAGCCUUGAUGUGUAGGAUAGGUGGGAGGCUUUGAAGCGUGGACGCCAGUCUGCGUGGAGCCAUCCUUGAAAUACCACCCUUUAAUGUUUGAUGUUCUAACUCGGCCCCAUAAUCUGGGGUGAGGACAGUGUCUGGUGGGUAGUUUGACUGGGGCGGUCUCCUCCCAAAGAGUAACGGAGGAGCACGAAGGUUAGCUAAUCACGGUCGGACAUCGUGAGGUUAGUGCAAAGGCAUAAGCUAGCUUGACUGCGAGAGUGACGGCUCGAGCAGGUACGAAAGUAGGUCUUAGUGAUCCGGUGGUUCUGAAUGGAAGGGCCAUCGCUCAACGGAUAAAAGGUACUCCGGGGAUAACAGGCUGAUACCGCCCAAGAGUUCAUAUCGACGGCGGUGUUUGGCACCUCGAUGUCGGCUCAUCACAUCCUGGGGCUGAAGUAGGUCCCAAGGGUAUGGCUGUUCGCCAUUUAAAGUGGUACGCGAGCUGGGUUUAGAACGUCGUGAGACAGUUCGGUCCCUAUCUGCCGUGGGCGUUGGAAGAUUGAGAGGGGUUGCUCCUAGUACGAGAGGACCGGAGUGAACGCACCACUGGUGUUCGGGUUGUCAUGCCAAUGGCAUUGCCCGGUAGCUAAGUGCGGAAAAGAUAAGCGCUGAAAGCAUCUAAGCGCGAAACUUGCCUCAAGAUGAGUCUUCCCUGGGCCUUCAAGGCCCCUGAAGGAACGUUUAAGACUAAGACGUUGAUAGGCUGGGUGUGUAAGUGCAGCGAUGCAUUGAGCUAACCAGUACUAAUGAUCCGUGAGGCUUAACCUU
rnacentral:rRNA from 1 species